GGAAGGGUGGCCCAGUGGUUAGGUUGCAAGCUGGAGACCAGGGUUCAAUUCCCUGCUCCACCA
rnacentral:tRNA from 1 species